rnacentral:rRNA from 1 species
AGCGAACGCUGGCGGCAGGCCUAACACAUGCAAGUCGAACGAACCUUUCGGGGUUAGUGGCGGACGGGUGAGUAACACGUGGGAACGUGCCAUUAGGUUCGGAAUAACCCAGGGAAACUUGUGCUAAUACCGAAAGAGCCCUUCGGGGGAAAGAUUAAUCGCCUUUAGAGCGGACCGCGUCUGAUUAGCUAGUUGGUUGAGGUAAUGGCUCACCAAGGCGACGAUCAGUAGCUGGUCUGAGAGGAUGAUCAGCCACAUUGGGACUGAGACACGGCCCAAACUCCUACGGGAGGCAGCAGUGGGGAAUCUUGCGCAAUGGGCGAAAGCCUGACGCAGCCAUGCCGCGUGAAUGAUGAAGGUCUUAGGAUUGUAAAAUUCUUUCGCCGGGGACGAUAAUGACGGUACCCGGAGAAGAAGCCCCGGCUAACUUCGUG